GGGCCGCCUCCCUCGCUCGUUCGCUCGCUCCCUCCCUCGCUCCCUCCCUCGCUCGCUCGCUCGCUCGCUCGCUGCCUCCUUCCUCGCGCCUCGGCCCAACAUGGCGAUGCACAACAAGGCGGCGCCGCCGCAGAUCCCGGACACCCGGCGGGAGCUGGCCGAGCUGGUGAAGCGCAAGCAGGAGCUGGCGGAGACGCUGGCAAACUUGGAGAGACAAAUCUAUGCUUUUGAAGGGAGCUACCUAGAAGACACCCAGAUGUAUGGCAAUAUUAUUCGGGGCUGGGACCGCUAUCUGACAAAUCAAAAAAACUCUAAUAGCAAAAAUGAUCGUAGGAACCGAAAAUUUAAGGAAGCUGAACGACUCUUCAGUAAAUCCUCAGUUACUUCAGCAGCGGCAGUCAGUGCAUUGGCUGGAGUUCAAGACCAACUCAUUGAAAAAAGGGAACCAGGCAGUGGUACAGAGAGUGACACAUCUCCAGACUUUCACAAUCAGGAGAAUGAACCUAGCCAAGAGGACACAGAAGAUCUGGAUGGAUCUGUGCAGGGGGUGAAACCCCAGAAGGCUGCUUCCUCCACCUCUUCAGGGAGUCAUCACAGCAGCCAUAAAAAGAGGAAGAAUAAAAACCGACACAGGUAACUCCCGUCAGCUGUAUUGCAUUCAGUGGUUGAGCAGUUUGACCAGCCCAUCUCCUGAGUGAACACCUUGCCAUUGAAGGGUAUUCAUUAAGCCCUUGACUUCCAGGAAGAAUGUGAGAGCGUCAGGUCCCCGGCCUUGAUACCUGAUUGAGAACAUAUUACUUGAGUAUAGUGUUGCAGAACAUUUUCUCUUUUUUUUUUUUCUUAAAAAAAAAAAAAAGUUCAUGCUGUUAUAUUGGGUUGUGAGUUACUGUUUUUAAAAGCAUAUUUUUUAUUAUAUGCCUAAAUUCUUUACUCCCCAUUUCAUUUAAUGCCCUAAUUCUUCUACAUUUUCAGUUCUUCAUGUUUGUUUAAAAAAGUCUAACUCUGCAUCUGGCAGCUAAUGAAUUGGUCCACAUACCUGAUAGAGUUCUAAUGAAAUAACCAUCCCUUUUAUAACACUACUUUACUUCUGAUGUAAAAAUCCAUGGAGGGAACCUUUUGACUAUAGAAACUUGGGUGCUUUGAUGUUUGAAGUUUUAUGGCAUAAGAUUCUUAAAGCUGAUUUUGUUUUUAGUAAUCUUGCUAGGGUGGCUAAUCAACUAAUUUAAUUAGUAUAUUAAUUUCUAUUGCUUUCUUCCUUUCAAAUGCUGCCCCUCAGCCCGUCUGGCAUGUUUGAUUAUGACUUUGAGAUUGAUCUGAAGCUAAACAAAAAGCCAAGAGCCGAUUAUUAGAAGACCCAUUAGUACAGAAGCUUACAGGCUGUAGAGCCCUGCCCUCAUACAACUUCACCAAGAUAAACACCCCUCCACUGAGUGGCCAUUAAUGUCUGCGCUCCCAGACCCAGUGCCUGCAUUGAGGAGUAGUUUGUUCUAAAGAGGGGUGAAAGAAAAUCCUUUCUGUAAAACCACAUCAGACCAUUUACCUCGUGUCAUUUUUAGUAACUGAACUGCAGGAAGACCAAGGCAUGGUGCAGUCCUAGGUUGCCUACUUUCUGCAUUUCUCCAUUCUUGGGAUUGAGUACUUCCCAACACUGGCUGCUCUGGUCCUGGCUGCAUCAGAUUCAUCUGUGAUACCCAUGGAGAGAUGUCGUGGGGUUUUUUUUGAUGCCAAAACCAGCACCCAGUUGUGUUUUGUCAUAUGGAGGCUGUAAAUAUCAGGCAUUUCCUUACUCUGCCUUAUGUGUUGUUUGUUGUUACUGUCUUGUUUUCUUUGAGGGGUUUGUUGUAAUACAGUUGUACAGCUUAUGGCUUCCUGCUGUUUUCUUUGGAAUCUGAUUAUCUUUACUUGGCUUAGGGGCUGAUAUCCUAACACAAAUAAUCUCUAGUAGCAUAAAUAAAAUGGAUGACUUGUCCUAUUUGUCUUUUUGCAGGGGGAAGGUAGAGGGUUAUUUAAUUUUUUUCCCAUCUGAGUUGGAAGCAAUUUUCAUGUACAGGCAAAUGGCAAUAGCUAAAAACCAUAAGUUUGAAUCCUUUUAAAAACAUAAGUUUUUAUUAUUUUGUAUAAAAAAUAAAAUUUCACAGGCUUCA